ensembl:lncRNA
GCAACAUGAGGGAGCUCAUAUAGCGGACCUUACCAAAAGAAGGCGUCUAGCCUGGAUAGCCGCCGUGAGACAAGCUGAUAUCCAGUUCUCUUCCAUCUCCAGAUAUCGGUUGGUGUGCUCUAGACAUUUUCAUUCUGCUGCAAACAUCAGCGAGGGAAUGAUGGGCACCCUGUCUCGUGAAGACUUGCAGGAUCUUUUCCCAGGCCCAGAGAACUUUUUACGGAGAAAAGCUGUCUGGCGUGCCUGUCAGGAUGUACUGGAGGAAAAAGGAAAGCACAAAACCUACUUGAAGAAGAACCCUCUACCCUGCCAAGUCCUAAUAUAAACAAGCCUGCAGAUAUCAACAGUCCAGACACCCACUGUCCAGCAACCUUGGCCAAACACUACAAGACCCUACAAACUUUGUUUAAAAGAAAAAAUCCAAACCACCAGGAUGUCUCUCAGCUCCUGGAUUUGGAAUUUUCAGCCAGAAGAGCAUUUAUUGAUUCAAAUACUAUUCGCGAGGAGGACAGACACAAAAAGGUUCUAGAAGCAUACCCUUGCUUCAAGGACAUUGGACAU